rnacentral:rRNA from 1 species
UAGGGAAUCUUCCGCAAUGGGCGAAAGCUUGACGGAGCAACGCCGCGUGAGUGAUGAAGGUCUUCGGAUCGUAAAACUCUGUUAUUAGGGAAGAACAAAUGUGUAAGUAACUAUGCACGUCUUGACGGUACCUAAUCAGAAAGCCACGGCUAACUACGUGCCAGCAGCCGCGGUAAUACGUAGGUGGCAAGCGUUAUCCGGAAUUAUUGGGCGUAAAGCGCGCGUAGGCGGUUUUUUAAGUCUGAUGUGAAAGCCCACGGCUCAACCGUGGAGGGUCAUUGGAAACUGGAAAACUGGAGUGGAGAAGAGGAAAGUGGAAUUCCAUGUGUAGCGGUGAAAUGCGCAGAGAUAUGGAGGAACACCAGUGGCGAAGGCGACUUUCUGGUCUGUAACUGACGCUGGUGUGCGAAAGCGUGGGGAUCAAACAGG